rnacentral:lncRNA from 1 species
AAAAGAAGCUGCUCGGAACACCUGCGUCAGUGCCUACUCCUGUUCUCUCGACGGCGCAUUGCAACAGCCCCCUGCAACAUGAUUGGUCUUCGCUCAGUAGUGCUGGCGGUGGCGCUGGUGCACGUCGCGUCUGCCGUUCCUGGUGGCAGCUACGGCGGCGGGUUCGGUGGCCGCCCUUCCGUCGGACUGGGCGGAGGCUCCUUCGCAAGCCCGUCUGUGGGCUUUGGAGGAAGUUCCUUUGCCGGGCCCUCUGUGGGCGUUAGCAGCGCCUCGUUCGCACGCCCUUCGGUUGGCUUCGCUCGUCCCUCUGUUGGAUUUGCGCGUCCGUCUGUUGGAUUCGCUCGUCCCUCUGUUGGCUUCGCUCGUCCCUCUGUUGGCUUCGCUCGCCCUUCCGUUGGCUUCGCUCGCCCUUCCGUUGGCUUCGCUCGCCCUUCAGUUGGCUUCGCUCGCCCUUCCGUUGGCUUCGGCGGGAGCUCCUUCGGGCGCCCUUCCGGUGGCCUGGGAGUUAGCGGAGCCUCCUUCGCGCGCCCUUACUCGUACGGACGCUAGACGAGCCUGCACCCGAACCUCUUCUUCAAGUAUUAAUUCACGCUGCGGGGCAUUUCAAUAAAGAUGUCUGUUUAA